GGUUAAGUGACUAAGCGUACACGGUGGAUGCCUUGGCAGUCAGAGGCGAUGAAAGACGUAGUAACUUGCGAUAAGCCCAGAUUAGGUAGUAACAACCAUUUGAGUCUGGGAUUUCUGAAUGGGGAAACCCACUUACAUAAGUAAGUAUCAUUAACUGAAUACAUAGGUUAAUGAGGCGAACCGGGGGAACUGAAACAUCUAAGUACCCCGAGGAAAAGAAAUCAACCGAGAUUCCGAAAGUAGCGGCGAGCGAAAUUGGACUAGCCCUUAAGCUUUACACGCGUUAGACGAACGGUCUGGAAAGUCCGACGAUACAGGGUGAUAGUCCCGUAGUUGACGACGUGUGUUCAGUGAAAUCGAGUAGGGCGGGACACGUGAUAUCCUGUCUGAAUAUGGGGGGACCAUCCUCCAAGGCUAAAUACUACUGACUGACCGAUAGUGAACCAGUACCGUGAGGGAAAGGCGAAAAGAACCCCUGUGAGGGGAGUGAAAUAGAACCUGAAACCGUGUACGUACAAGCAGUAGGAGCAGGCUUGUCCUGUGACUGCGUACCUUUUGUAUAAUGGGUCAGCGACUUAUAUUCAGUGGCAAGGUUAACCAUCUAGGGGAGCCGUAGGGAAACCGAGUCUUAACUGGGCGUUCAGUCUCUGGAUAUAGACCCGAAACCAGGUGAUCUAGCCAUGGGCAGGUUGAAGGUUGAGUAACAUCAACUGGAGGACCGAACCGACUAAUGUUGAAAAAUUAGCGGAUGACUUGUGGCUAGGGGUGAAAGGCCAAUCAAACCUGGAGAUAGCUGGUUCUCCCCGAAAGCUAUUUAGGUAGCGCCUCGGACGAAUACUACUGGGGGUAGAGCACUGUUAAGGCUAGGGGGUCAUCCCGACUUACCAACCCUUUGCAAACUCCGAAUACCAGUAAGUACUAUCCGGGAGACACACGGCGGGUGCUAACGUCCGUCGUGGAGAGGGAAACAACCCAGACCGCCAGCUAAGGUCCCAAAUUACUACUAAGUGGGAAACGAUGUGGGAAGGCUCAGACAGCCAGGAUGUUGGCUUAGAAGCAGCCAUCAUUUAAAGAAAGCGUAAUAGCUCACUGGUCGAGUCGGCCUGCGCGGAAGAUGUAACGGGGCUAAGUAGUAAACCGAAGCUGCGGCAAUGUGCUUUUGCACAUUGGGUAGGGGAGCGUUCUGUAAGCGGUUGAAGGUGUGUGGUAACGCAUGCUGGACGUAUCAGAAGUGCGAAUGCUGACAUGAGUAACGAUAAAGGGGGUGAAAAACCUCCUCGCCGGAAGACCAAGGGUUCCUGUCCAACGUUAAUCGGGGCAGGGUAAGUCGACCCCUAAGGCGAGGCCGAAAGGCGUAGUCGAUGGGAAACGGGUUAAUAUUCCCGUACUUCUUACAAUUGCGAUGGGGGGACGGAGAAGGCUAGGUGGGCCUGGCGACGGUUGUCCAGGUUCAAGUGCGUAGGCUUAAGAGUUAGGUAAAUCCGGCUCUUUUUAAGGCUGAGACACGACGUCGAGCACCUACGGGUGUGAAGUCAUUGAUGCCAUGCUUCCAGGAAAAGCCUCUAAGCUUCAGAUUGUAAGGAAUCGUACCCCAAACCGACACAGGUGGUCGGGUAGAGAAUACCAAGGCGCUUGAGAGAACUCGGGUGAAGGAACUAGGCAAAAUGGUACCGUAACUUCGGGAGAAGGUACGCUCUUGAUGGUGAAGUCCCUUGCGGAUGGAGCUGACGAGAGUCGCAGAUACCAGGUGGCUGCAACUGUUUAUUAAAAACACAGCACUGUGCAAAAUCGUAAGAUGACGUAUACGGUGUGACGCCUGCCCGGUGCCGGAAGGUUAAUUGAUGGGGUUAGACUUCGGUCGAAGCUCUUGAUCGAAGCCCCGGUAAACGGCGGCCGUAACUAUAACGGUCCUAAGGUAGCGAAAUUCCUUGUCGGGUAAGUUCCGACCUGCACGAAUGGCGUAAUGAUGGCCACGCUGUCUCCACCCGAGACUCAGUGAAAUUGAAAUCGCUGUGAAGAUGCAGUGUACCCGCGGCUAGACGGAAAGACCCCGUGAACCUUUACUACAGCUUGGCACUGAACAUUGACCCUACAUGUGUAGGAUAGGUGGGAGGCUUUGAAGCACGUACGCCAGUAUGUGUGGAGCCGUCCUUGAAAUACCACCCUUGUAGUGUUGAUGUUCUAACGUCGACCCCUUAUCGGGGUUGCGGACAGUGCCUGGUGGGUAGUUUGACUGGGGCGGUCUCCUCCCAAAGAGUAACGGAGGAGCACGAAGGUGGGCUAAUCACGGUUGGACAUCGUGAGGUUAGUGCAAUGGCAUAAGCCCGCUUGACUGCGAGAAUGACAAUUCGAGCAGGUGCGAAAGCAGGUCAUAGUGAUCCGGUGGUUCUGAAUGGAAGGGCCAUCGCUCAACGGAUAAAAGGUACUCCGGGGAUAACAGGCUGAUACCGCCCAAGAGUUCAUAUCGACGGCGGUGUUUGGCACCUCGAUGUCGGCUCAUCACAUCCUGGGGCUGAAGUCGGUCCCAAGGGUAUGGCUGUUCGCCAUUUAAAGUGGUACGCGAGCUGGGUUUAGAACGUCGUGAGACAGUUCGGUCCCUAUCUGCCGUGGGCGUUGGAAGAUUGAAGGGGGCUGCUCCUAGUACGAGAGGACCGGAGUGGACGAACCUCUGGUGUUCGGGUUGUGUCGCCAGACGCAUUGCCCGGUAGCUAAGUUCGGAAUCGAUAACCGCUGAAAGCAUCUAAGCGGGAAGCGAGCCCUGAGAUGAGUCUUCCCUGAUACUUUAAGUAUCCUAAAGGGUUGUCGGAGACUACGACGUUGAUAGGUCAGGUGUGUAAGUGCUGUGAGGCAUUGAGCUAACUGAUACUAAUUGCCCGUGAGGCUUAACCAU
rnacentral:rRNA from 1 species